rnacentral:rRNA from 1 species
UACGGGGGGGGGCAAGCGUUGUUCGGAAUUACUGGGCGUAAAGGGCUCGUAGGCGGCCAACUAAGUCAGACGUGAAAUCCCUCGGCUUAACCGGGGAACUGCGUCUGAUACUGGCAGGCUUGAAUCCGGGAGAGGGAUGCGGAAUUCCAGGUGUAGCGGUGAAAUGCGUAGAUAUCUGGAGGAACACCGGUGGCGAAGGCGGCAUCCUGGACCGGCAUUGACGCUGAGGCGCGAAAGCGUGGGGAGCAAACAGG